rnacentral:rRNA from 1 species
GAUGAACGCUAGCGGGAGGCUUAACACAUGCAAGUCGAGGGGCAGCAUAGGGUAGCAAUACUCUGAUGGCGACCGGCAAACGGGUGAGUAACGCGUAUGCAACCUACCCUGUACAGGGGGAUAACCCGGAGAAAUUCGGACUAAUAUCCCGUAAUAAUAUCCGGGAGGCAUCUUUGGAUAUUUAAAGUUCCGACGGUACGGGAUGGGCAUGCGUAACAUUAGCUGGUUGGUAAGGUAACGGCUUACCAAGGCUAUGAUGUUUAGGGGUCCUGAGAGGGUGGUCCCCCACACUGGUACUGAGACACGGACCAGACUCCUACGGGAGGCAGCAGUGAGGAAUAUUGGUCAAUGGGCGCAAGCCUGAACCAGCCAUCCCGCGUGCAGGAAGACGGCCCUAUGGGUUGUAAACUGCUUUUCCAGGGAGAGAAACUUACGCACGUGUUGCGUGACUGACGGUACCCUGGGAAUAAGCAUCGGCUAACUCCGUG